rnacentral:piRNA from 1 species
UCGAGAUUUUUGAGUGUUCCCUUCU